CCUACGGGAGGCAGCAGUUAGGAAUUUUGGGCAAUGGGCGAAAGCCUGACCCAGCAACGCCGCGUGGGCGAUGAAGGCCUUCGGGUCGUAAAGCCCUUUUCUGUGGGACGAUAAUGACGGUACCACAGGAAUAAGCCACGGCUAACUACGUGCCAGCAGCCGCGGUAAUACGUAGGUGGCUAGCGUUAUCCGGAUUCACUGGGCGUAAAGAGCGCGUAGGCGGUGUGCUAAGUUGGACGUGAAAGCCCCCGGCUUAACCGGGGGAGGUCGUCCAAUACUGGUGCACUUGAGGGUGGACGGGGAAAGCGGAAUUCCCGGUGUAGUGGUGAAAUGCGUAGAUAUCGGGAGGACCACCAGGGGCGAAGGCGGCCUUCGGGUCUGCCCCUGACACUCAGGCGCGAAAGCGUGGGGAGCAAACAGGAUUAGAUCCCCUGGUAGU
rnacentral:rRNA from 1 species